UACGUAGGGUGCAAGCGUUGUCCGGAAUUAUUGGGCGUAAAGAGCUCGUAGGUGGUUUGUCGCGUUGUUCGUGAAAACUCACAGCUCAACUGUGAGCGUGCGGGCGAUACGGGCAGACUGGAGUACUGCAGGGGAGACUGGAAUUCCUGGUGUAGCGGUGGAAUGCGCAGAUAUCAGGAGGAACACCGGUGGCGAAGGCGGGUCUCUGGGCAGUAACUGACGCUGAGGAGCGAAAGCUAGGGGAGCAAACAGG
rnacentral:rRNA from 1 species